rnacentral:rRNA from 1 species
UACGGAAGGCAGCAGUGGGGAAUAUUGCACAAUGGGCGCAAGCCUGAUGCAGCCAUGCCGCGUGUAUGAAGAAGGCCUUCGGGUUGUAAAGUACUUUCAGUCGUGAGGAAGGUGUUAAGGUUAAUAACCUUAGCAAUUGACGUUAGCGACAGAAGAAGCACCGGCUAACUCCGUGCCAGCAGCCGCGGUAAUACGGAGGGUGCGAGCGUUAAUCGGAAUUACUGGGCGUAAAGGGCACGCAGGCGGUUAAUUAAGUUGGAUGUGAAAUCCCCGGGCUUAACCUGGGAAUGGCAUUCAAGACUGGUUAGCUAGAGUCUUGUAGAGGGGGUAGAAUUCCAUGUGUAGCGGUGAAAUGCGUAGAGAUGUGGAGGAAUACCGGUGGCGAAGGCGGCCCCUGGGCAAAGGCUGACGCUCAUGUGCGAAAGCGUGGGGAGCAAACG